CAGAAGGAUAGCAUGGACUUCAUCUUCAAGUCAAGGUGCCUCAAACAGCGACAGCGUCUUCCAAACGCCUCCGUUCAUCAUGAAGAGAAGUGGAGAGUCUGUGGACCGGGAGAUCAACUGUUCGCACAGCAUACCAAGCCAUGAUCGCAUUCUCUGGUACAAACAAGACCAACAUCAAAAUAUGAAGUUUCUGGGAUAUCUGAAUGUGAAGUACCCGUAUCCAGAGGACGACGUGAAAGGAAAAAUCAGCUUUGACGGAGAUGCCAGUAUACACUCUCAGUCUCGCCUCAGUGUCUCUAAUCUGUCAUCAGAGGACAGCGGGGUGUAUUUCUGUGCAGUCAGUCAGCACAGUGCUGCAGAUUCCCCUCAGCUCAAUACAAGAACUCUCCUCCGUCUGUCAGAGACAACAAGCUGAGGCUCAGCACCUGCAGCUUUCAGGAUAACAUGAACUGUUAUCAAUGAACCCCCUCAGAGCUACUGACAGCAUACUUGAAUUCAGCCACUGUGUGAAAUACAAAUUGUUAAAGAUUUUGUUUUAUUA